AGGAACACAACCCUGACCUGGAGCCAUUGGCAAGAGGGGUGCUGCUCACUGGUUCUCACUCGAGGCCAGCACCAGGCAGGAUUGCAAGCUCUGACUGGGUUCAGUCUGUUCAGCCAGGACUCACCUGGAAGGACUGCAAGGCCACCUACCCACCUUCACAACUGACCCGGCAGAAUUGGUUUGAAGAAAGAAUUCUACAACUUAAAGAAUUAAAGUUGGAGCACCAUUGCCUUGGAUGGAGUAGCCAGCACAGCCCAUGUCCAUCCUUGAUGCCAACUUCUUCAAAAUUUAUUUCCUCUAGCAUAUUCUUUUUUUUAAAAUAAAUCUUUAUUGUUCAGAUUAUUA